CAAAACUGUGCAACAUUCAUCAUCAUAUUGUAUCAAUUUGUCGGAGUAUGGCGCUCAAAUUUGUGACAUUGUUUUGUUCGCUUUGGCAACCCUCGUAUAUAUCAGAUGCUGUUCGGCCUCAAAUGCGACUGAAUAAACACUGAUAGUCUUGCCUGGAAUAUGAAAUGAUAUUGACUUAUUGUUCUGUAUAUCAAGGUAUGUAAUGUACAUUUAUACUGAAUUUAUUCGAUUUUUUUUCACACGUUGCUUUCACAUUUUCUCGGAGUCUCGGAAAUCACAUUUUCUAAUAAACUCAGUUUCACACAUACAGCAAGACUUCAUUUCACACAUACAGAAAGACUUCUUCAGAAAUCACAGUUUUUACUGUAACAUAUAGAAAAAUUUCAUAUUAUCUCACCAGUUAAUCUAAUUAUGAUAACAGUACGUAGUAGAAAUGCUUAGAAAGAUUUUAUUCUGUUUUCCAUAUACAGUGUACAACUGUUAUUGCAAUUUUCUCUUUCCUAUAUUUUCUUUAAAGCAGGUACUGUUCUGUUACAAAACAACUAAUAAACAUUUUAUUAUUUUAACAGGUGAACCAUAUUUUACAUGAACUUGGGAAAAAACAACUUGAAUUCCAUGGAAAUAUAUAUAAUCAUGUCAUCAAUCAGAUAGUAAACAAUCAUUAAGAUAUAGUUUUCUAAUGCUAUAUAAUUUUGUUUAUCAAGGUGAAGAAACCUUACCUCACUAUAUCUUUUCCUGUUACAGAGCUAUGGUAGUAAUCUUAGAAGAUUUUCAUGAUCCCUCUAUUCAGUAGUUCUUUAACCAGUCUAGUAUUAUGACUGUAUUAUGUUAAAUAGCCUUGUGUGACUUUUGUAUUUUGUUUCUUUAAUAAUACAUUUACAAUGGUCAAAAUUACAGUUUAAUAUUUGUAUUUCUAAUGAUAAUUACUUGCACAUAUCCAUCACACUUCUCUCUUACUAUUAAACUUAUUACUAUCAUGCAAGUAAAAUCUCUUGGGAAAAAUAAAAUGUUGUCCCAGGAUAGUCAUAAAUAUCAUCUAGUAAAACUAAUAUACCUAUAAUCAUGUACAUAUGACUAUUAUAUAAUAUGUUGUAAUUCCUUUAAGUGUUUCCAAUUAAAUAAAUUUCUAUUUUCAGUUGUUCAUUGUUCAAACUAAUUUGAAACCUACAGUAUAUGUAGUUGCUAUGAUUCAGAUUAAUAUCCAAAAGUGUGCCUUUUACUACAGUUAGACUCCUCCCUAAUACAGACACUUUAUUGUGCCACUCCAAUGUUCAUUCAAAGUGAUCCAACUGACAUCUGAGCUGGUGAUAAUAUACAGCAAAGUAUUGGAAGUAGGAGUAUAUCAGAUAAGUUGUUCAUUCAGUCAAGACCUUCAGGUUGUGCUGAUCAUCAUAUCAAACUCCAUAACAUAUUGUGCCUUAAAAACAU